UACGUAGGGGGCCAGCGUUGUUCGGAAUUACUGGGCGUAAAGGGUUCGUAGGCGGUGUGGCGAGUCGGGCGUGAAAUCUCUGGGCUCAACCCAGAGUCUGCUUCCGAAACUGCUGUGCUUGAGUGUGGGAGAGGCGCGUGGAAUUCCCAGUGUAGAGGUGAAAUUCGUAGAUAUUGGGAAGAACACCGAUGGCGAAGGCAAUCCCCUGGGCCUGCACUGACGCUCAUGCACGAAAGCGUGGGGAGCAAACAGG
rnacentral:rRNA from 1 species